CACACACCCAACCUCCCACCUUUAAUGUGUGGGGAUGGGACUAAGGUUUUCUCAUUUCUUUCAGAUUGUGCGCCUCCGAGGUGAACGUCUGACUGAAGUGAACUUGUGACUGGUCGAGAACUCCUCCAAACAGGUUUGUUUGUGUGGCUGACUGUGGACCUACAAGGUUCUUCUUGGAGGUAAUAAAGAUACAUCAGUGAUGGUGAGGCCGUCACAUUAUCAGCCGUUGUGGAUUUUUCAAUUCAACCUUUAUAUUGCAGACUCCACAUAAGGUAAAACACUUCCAUUCAGCAAUUGGUGUGCAGUGUCCAGAUUGUCAACAUUUAGUUCAGUAUGAUGUUACUUCUGGCCAGCUUAACCUGAGGAGAAAGUCAGUACAGUACACGAUUAGAUUUUGAAAAGGAAACUGCAAAAUCUCAUGGUGUUGUCCCGACCUCCGUAAAGUGUCAUUAAUGCAAGAACGAAUGUAAGUGUCGCCAAGACCAACACAUGUGGUAACUCCAACGAGAACCAGGCCAAUAAGGUAAGAAAUAAGGGAUUCCAACAUAUGGCGAGAGUCGGUUAGAUUAGGUCCGGUUUAUGUUUUUAUAGGGUUUUUUUUUUUUGCAUUUUUCAUUCGCCGAGCCAAUAUUUUUUUCGGGAAACACCUCACCAAAAAAAUUAUAUACAAAAACGACCAAUUUCCGACGGAAAUGGAGGUCAUAACCGAUCUAAACACAAAUACGCUAAAAAUAUUUUGUUUUACUUUCUAAUUGUUGUGUGCACAUACAAAUGGACCUUUUGUCACCAGGAGACAACCAAGGAACCUCCAGGUUACGUUACGUUGUUAGGUUAGUUAUGGUGCUUUUUGGUUGUUGACCAAUGGGUUUUUCCGAUUGUAAAAUCCAUGGUUGUCCACUUUUAAAAAAUUACCAGGAACCUUAAUGUUACGGGAU
rnacentral:lncRNA from 1 species